GGAGGCGUGGCUGAGUGGCCGAAAGCAGCGCACUGCUAAUGCGUUAGGCGCCAAAAGCGCCUCGGAGGUUCGAAUCCUCCCGCCUCCGCCA
rnacentral:tRNA from 4 species